AACAACAUGGACAAAGGGGUGAUAGCCCAUCUCGACGAUGCAUCUCUCAUACUCACUUACCAAGCAUUUGCACCCUGGGGAAAUGCUGUUAUCUACACUGAGCUCUGGAUCAUAAAUCAGUAGAGAGCAAUAAUACGAGCCAAGCCCUGUCCUUACAGCUUGCCUUAGGGCAGAAGAUGGACCAGAAAUUGGCGCCUUGGGUGAAGAAUCCUCCAAUUAUGGCUUACAAGAGAUCCUCCAACCUAAGAGACAAAUUGGUACAUGCUAUAAAUGAGCCUCCAAAAAAGCAGGGUACAUGGCUGAGUGGAACUAAAGAGUAUUUCACAGACUGUGAUGUUGCAUUGAUGAGACACAUUUAAUCCAUGAAAAAGGAUGAGAGAGACAUGAUGUCAUUUACUAUUGCACGGGAUAGAAUUAUUAUUCCUGUAUUCUUUGACAUGGGUUUUGUUUAAUGACACUAUAUGUGUUCUGAAAUGAAUUGUUACAAUACACAAUAUA